GAGACAACUCAGGAACCUCGAGCAGAAACACCAAUCAACCCCGGACGUCACGAUAUAUGGGCGGCUAGAAACAAUUAGAAGAGACAUUCGCACUCUCCUCCUAGACGACACGGCUAGGGCCAUGACAUGGUCAAAGAGAACGUACUACGACAAGGCCAAUAAAAUGGGCACGCUCCUAGCCAGGACGCUAUGGCCAAGGCAUAACCGGCCUCAUAUCACGGCCAUUAAACAUACAGACGGC